rnacentral:tRNA from 1 species
GCACCCUUAGCUCAACUGGAUAGAGUACCUGACUACGAAUCAGGCGGGUUAGAGGUUCGACUCCUCUAGGGUGCA